UCCACGCUGUAAACGAUGUGCACUAGGUGUUGGGGAUAGGAUCCUCAGUACCGUAGCUAACGCGUUAAGUGCACCGCCUGGGGAGUAUGCCCGCAAGGGUGAAACUCAAAGGAAUUGACGGGGGCCCGCACAAGCGGUGGAGCAUGUGGUUUAAUUCGAUACGCGAGGAACCUUACCAGGGCUUGACAUAAUAAUGACGACAUUGGAGACAAUGUUUUCCCUUCGGGGACAUUAUUACAGGUGCUGCAUGGUUGUCGUCAGCUCGUGCUGUGAAGUGUUGGGUUAAGUCCCG
rnacentral:rRNA from 1 species